rnacentral:rRNA from 1 species
AGCGAACGCUGGCGGCAGGCCUAACACAUGCAAGUCGAACGAAGUCUUCGGACUUAGUGGCGGACGGGUGAGUAACACGUGGGAACGUGCCUUUAGGUUCGGAAUAACUCAGGGAAACUUGUGCUAAUACCGAAUGUGCCCUUCGGGGGAAAGAUUUAUCGCCUUUAGAGCGGCCCGCGUCUGAUUAGCUAGUUGGUGAGGUAAAGGCUCACCAAGGCGACGAUCAGGAGCUGGUCUGAGAGGAUGAUCAGCCACAUUGGGACUGAGACGCGGCCCAAACUCCUACGGGAGGCAGCAGUGGGGAAUCUUGCGCAAUGGGCGAAAGCCUGACGCAGCCAUGCCGCGUGAAUGAUGAAGGUCUUAGGAUUGUAAAAUUCUUUCACCGGGGACGAUAAUGACGGUACCCGGAGAAGAAGCCCCGGCUAACUUCGUGCCAGCCGCCGCCGUAAGAC